rnacentral:rRNA from 1 species
UACAGAGGUCCCAAGCGUUGUUCGGAUUCACUGGGCGUAAAGGGUGCGUAGGCGGCGUGGCAAGUCUGAUGUGAAAUCCCGGGGCUCAACCCCGGAACUGCAUUGGAUACUGCCAUGCUAGAGUACUGGAGAGGAGAUUGGAAUUUACGGUGUAGCAGUGAAAUGCGUAGAUAUCGUAAGGAAGACCAGUGGCGAAGGCGAAUCUCUGGACAGUUACUGACGCUGAGGCACGAAGGCCAGGGGAGCAAACGGG